GGACGAACGCUGGCGGCGUGCUUAACACAUGCAAGUCGAACGAGGUCAACCAGUGGCAACACUGGAGAAGACCUAGUGGCGAACGGGUGAGUAACACGUGAGGAACCUUCCCCGAAGACUGGGAUAAGCCCUCGAAAGGGGGUCUAAUACCGGAUAUCCCCUCCACGUCGCAUGGCGAGGAGAGGAAAUGGUCCGCCGCUUCGGGACGGUCUCGCGGCCUAUCAGCUUGUUGGUGAGGUAACGGCUCACCAAGGCAACGACGGGUAGCUGGCCUGAGAGGGCGGUCGGCCACACUGACACUGACAUACGGGUCAGACUCCUACGGGAGGCAGCAGUCGGGAAUUUUGGGCAAUGGGCGAAAGCCUGACCCAGCAACGCCGCGUGAAGGAUGAAAUCCUUCGGGAUGUAAACUUCGCAAGAACAGGAAGAAUAAGUGAGAGUUAAUAUCUCUUACGAUGACGGUACUGUUUGUAAGCUCCGGCUAACUCCGUGCCAGCAGCCGCGGUAAUACGGGGGGAGCAAGCGUUGUUCGGAUUUACUGGGCGUAAAGGGCGCGUAGGCGGCCACCGCAAGUCGACUGUGAAAUCUCCGGGCUUAACCCGGAAAGGUCAGCCGAUACUGCGGGGCUAGAGUGCAGAAGGGGCAACUGGAAUUCUCGGUGUAGCGGUGAAAUGCGUAGAUAUCGAGAGGAACACCUGCGGCGAAGGCGGGUUGCUGGGCUGACACUGACGCUGAUGCGCGAAAGCUAGGGGAGCGAACGGGAUUAGAUACCCCGGUAGUCCUAGCCUUAAACGAUGAAUGCUUGGUGUCUGGGGUUUUAUAGUCCCCGGGUGCCGUCGCUAACGCUUUAAGCAUUCCGCCUGGGGAGUACGGUCGCAAGACUGAAACUCAAAGGAAUUGACGGGGACCCGCACAAGCGGUGGAGCAUGUGGUUUAAUUCGACGCAACGCGAAGAACCUUACCUGGGCUAGAAUGCCUCUGACCGGCGUAGAGAUACGCCUUCCUGGGUAAAACCAGGCAGAGUGCAAGGUGCUGCAUGGCUGUCGUCAGCUCGUGUCGUGAGAUGUUGGGUUAAGUCCCGCAACGAGCGCAACCCUUAUCAAUAGUUGCCAGCGGUUCGGCCGGGCACUCUAUUGAGACUGCCGUUGACAAAACGGAGGAAGGUGGGGAUGACGUCAAGUCCUCAUGGCCUUUAUGUCCAGGGCUACACACGUGCUACAAUGGCGAGUACAAAGCGCUGCACACCUGCAAGGGGGAGCCAAUCGCAAAAAGCUCGUCUCAGUUCGGAUUGGAGUCUGCAACUCGACUCCAUGAAGCUGGAA
rnacentral:rRNA from 1 species